GGUGAGAUGUUAGCUCAGUCUCUGAUACGUUGCCUGGACUUGCGGCGCUGCAGAUCCAAAAAGUGUCGUGGAUUGAUUCACACUAAAGUUCAAAUGCGUUAAUAUAUAGGACCGCGCUGCAGGGUAUCUUGGAAUCCUUUCCUCCACCCAAGGCUCUCCUCACACCAUCCGGACAUGGAAAACACACAAUUUCCUCAGGUAGCCUCCACUCCUCCAACA